AUCAUGCACUGCGCAUAUAAACGCGAACUACACAAGGUAACAUGGACAAGGAGAGUGCAAGUCCUUUCCAUGGAGUGGAGCCGCCGUGUCUCGCCGUUCAGGAUAUGCGUACUCGAAGAAAAAAAGAUCUGUAUAUGAGAACGUAUCAAGCGUUCGAGAGUUGGGACAAGGAAAUGAAACACUGGAACGACACUGCUUAAAUUGAAGCAUGGUGUGCGAAUGACCUGCUACGCUCAGAACUGUUAUCGCCGUUCGGGGAGAAAUCAGUUUGUAUGAGCAAUGUAACUAUCCAAGCUUUACUCUCGACGGGGACAAAGAAAUGCCGGGUGCUGUACCGUUCAGAGCUAACUAAGAACAUAGGAACGGCUGAAAAAGAGCCUCCCA